GAGAGUAUAGCUCAGUGGUAGAGCAUGUGCUUAGCAUGCACAAGGUCCUGGGUUCAAUUCCCAGUACUGCCA
rnacentral:tRNA from 1 species